rnacentral:rRNA from 1 species
UUGGAGGGCAAGUCUGGUGCCAGCAGCCGCGGUAAUUCCAGCUCCAAUAGCGUAUAUUAAAGUUGUUGCAGUUAAAAAGCUCGUAGUUGAAUUUCGGGAUCAAAUAAUCGGUCGUGCCUCCGGUACGUACUGGUUUUAUUGGUUCCUCCCUUCUGACGAACCAUGAUGUCAUUAAUUUGAUGUGGUGGAGAAUCAGGACUGUUACCUUGAAAAAAUUAGAGUGUUUAAAGCAGGCUCACGCUUGAAUACAUUAGCAUGGAAUAAUGAAAUAGGACAUCCGAUUCUAUUUUGUUGGUUUCUAGGAUCGAUGUAAUGAUUAAUAGGGAUAGUUGGGGGCAUUAGUAUUCAAUUGUCAGAGGUGAAAUUCUUGGAUUUAUUGAAGACUAACUACUGCGAAAGCAUUUGCCAAGGAUGUUUUCAUUAAUCAAGAACGAAAGUUAGGGGAUCGAAGACGAUCAGAUACCGUCGUAGUCUUAACCAUAAACUAUGCCGACUAGGGAUCGGAUGAUGUUAAUUUUUUAAUGACUCAUUCGGCGCCUUACGGGAAAC